rnacentral:rRNA from 1 species
UACGUAGGAGGCAAGCGUUGUCCGGAAUUACUGGGUGUAAAGCGCGUGUAGGCGGCAGGCCAAGUCUGUGGUGAAAUCGCCCGGCUCAACUGGGCGGGGUCCAUGGAAACUGGUCAGCUGGAGGACGGUAGAGGUGAGUGGAAUUCCCGGUGUAGUGGUGAAAUGCGUAGAGAUCGGGAGGAACACCCGUGGCGAAGGCGGCUCACUGGGCCGGUCCUGACGCUGAGACGCGAAAGCUAGGGGAGCGAACAGG